AACGCGUGGGAAUCUACCUAGUAGUGGAGGAUAACUCGGGGAAACUCGAGCUAAUACUGCAUACGCCCUACGGGGGAAAGCGGGGGAUCUUCGGACCUCGCGCUAUUGGAUGAGCCCGCGUUAGAUUAGCUUGUUGGUGAGGUAAUGGCUCACCAAGGCGACGAUCUAUAGCUGGUCUGAGAGGAUGAUCAGCCACAUUGGGACUGAGACACGGCCCAAACUCCUACGGGAGGCAGCAGUGGGGAAUAUUGCGCAAUGGGCGAAAGCCUGACGCAGCCAUGCCGCGUGUGUGAAGAAGGCCUUCGGGUCGUAAAGCACUUUCAAUAGGGAGGAAAGGUUGUAGCUUAAUACGUUGCAACUGUGACGUUACCUAUAGAAGAAGCACCGGCUAACUCCGUGCCAGCAGCCGCGGUAAUACGGAGGGUGCGAGCGUUAAUCGGAAUUACUGGGCGUAAAGCGCGCGUAGGCGGCUUCGUCAGUCAGAUGUGAAAGCCCCGGGCUCAACCUGGGAACUGCAUUUGAUACUGCGGAGCUAGAGUAUGGUAGAGGA
rnacentral:rRNA from 1 species